AGUGCAUAUACCCACCCAGCCUUGGGGAGGGUUGGUUUGUCUGCUGACUGGUGGGACCAGCAAACUGUGGUUCAUCCUCCAUCACGUCACCAAGCUCCGGAGCUCCAGCUGGGUGCAGACAUGGAAUAGCAGCAAGUCCAUGGGAAAGGCUCAUCUUCUCACAGCCCUUGCAGCAGCACUCUGAGCUCAGUGUGAACUUCCCAGAGCAUAGAGGCAGAGCUGAAACCCUCACUGAUGCUGCCAGGAACUUUCUGCAGGAAUUAAGGCAAUAGGGUGGAGGUGAAGUGUGUGUGAACCCAAACUGGAUUCCAGGCCUGCCAAUUAAACACAGGAGUCAAAUCCCACGAGGACCUUGGUUGCCUAUGCUGGAAGAUACCAGAGAUGAUUCAGGAGCCAAAGCAGAGGCACUCCUUUUAUGUUGGUACCUCCUCUCACAAGAGACUUCCUUGGGCUUUUAAAUGACUGCAUUUCCCUUCGGCAUGACAGCUGCAGCUUCACCUCUUCUCGUGUGAACCUGGAGUCAGCCCUGCACUCUGCUCCCGAGUCUUUGGUGCUCUGUAAUUUCCAGCUUUUCCUGGUGUAAAAUAGAGGAUGAAGACAGCAAUUGAAACAAUUGCAGCAGAGAAGGUUUUCAACCUCUACCUCUGCUUUCUGGCAUAGUGAGCAGAGUGCAGAGAUGUAGUCACAAUGGAACACCCACUGCAGCCACCUCAUGCUUUAAAGAUUUGAGAGGAUGAAACACAGCUCAGUUGCCUGCUGUAACAAGAAGUAAAAUAAAUAAAUAGAUAAAUUACUGAGAAAAAGUAAAGUGGACGCAGCAGGAUUAGAAAUGUAACGGUGCCUUGUCCCUUCUGAGCAGCCUCAGAAGGAGAAUUAGGGAAGACUAAGCUGUGCACUUUGGAAAAUUCUGUCCUUUGCCAGACCCUCUCCAGCCCAGGUCCUCUGAGGGCCUGGGCCAUUCACCAGUGAUGGGGACAGCCAAGAUGGUGAAAGGUGCCAUCAUGCUGCGGCAGGAAGCUGGCUGUGGAAGUGCUGAUGGCUUUGAUCACACGGGCACACGGGAUGCCCACGUGUUGUUUAUUACUCACAGAGAGGAGCUUGGCAGCAGCAGUUGAGCAGAGGGUGUACUGAGGUGGAGAGGCUGGGGAUGAUGAAAGACUCAUCUGCCCACUCAGCUUGGGAGGAUGGGGUUGCUCUGAGAGACAGUCCUGUUUCUCUUAGCACAGCUGCACAGUUUUGAUACUCUACUGCCUUAUUUUAUAAUGAGGUUUUGGAUUUGGACCUCUUUGUCUCAUUGUCACAUGUCUUCCACUUGUCUUUGUGUCUUGGGAGCUUGGUGAGUGAGGCUGGGUUUUGAGAAGGACCUGCUGUGAUGAUAAAUAAGGUGCAAGCAAAGCCGUGGGCCCCAGAUAAUAGAUGUUCCAUUCUGCAGGACGCACCCGUUUGGGCAGUUUAAUUUCUAACCAGUUAAAGAUCCUUCUUGUGAAAAAUUGCUUCCCAUUCCCAACCUUAUAAUGAAAGUAAAAUAGUGGGAAGACAGAUGAGUUAGCUGUCCUAGAAAUCUAUUAUGUAGCUGGGUGAGAAAUAAAACAAUUUGUCUCUCCCUUGACUGACUUUUCUUACACCAAAUAACUGUGUAAUUGUCUUAAACCCCAAACAGA